AUCACCCAGACAUCAGCUGUAAUUGUAUUUUGGACAAACCAGGGGUGUUUCAACUGUAUAAAAAGGGAGCCCUGUUUCAGCGGACUGUCAGAUCACUCUAGGACAUAUCUCUGUGCGGAUCUCGUGUGAGUUGCUUAACAAUGUCCAGUACUGGCCCAAACUGAGUGAUGAAGUUAUGUUUUGUAAGGGCUUCUCAAUCAGAAGAAAGAUGCCUAGGGUUCCUGCUCACCUGCGUGAACAUGCCAUGGGCCUGCUGCAUGGAGACAUGAGGACUGCAGAUGUGACCACAGCAAUAAACUGCAAUGUAAGACAUCUAUAAUGUAAGACACCUAAGACAGUGCUACAGGGAGACAGGAAGGACAGCUGAUCGUUCUUGCAGUGGAAACUUACAUGUAACCAUGUGUCCCCCCAAGACGUGAUCAAGAAUUUUCAAAUGCCUUGGUGGAAGAGUGGAGUA
ensembl:lncRNA